GUUCCAUAACUUCACAAUGCCAAGACUUCAAGUCUAUUGGCAAGGAAAAGACUCCCUCAGCAGAUACACAGAAGCCCUGGGUCCGGUUCUCAGUGCCUGAUAUGGGUCAUGUGGUCAUCCUUGAAUCAAUCACUUUUGUGUAAGAGGACUGAAUCUGCUGACUAACUUAAUCCAGACAUGGCUCACUCCUGGUUUAAGACUGGGGCCAAACUAUUCAUACCACAUGGCCUGAAGUUGUUGGGUAGGCGGUUUCUUCAAGGAGCUUCGUGACGAAUACAGGGAAACAUGCAUUCUCGGAAGAAGGAGAGAAGAAAUUUCUUCAAAUUCUCACUUCUUUACUAACCACAUUCUAUGUAGAGACUGAAAGGAGAAAGAAUUAUUUCUGGCACUGGGGAAGGAAAUUCCUCUGCAUGUGUAUUUCUACUGUAUAUAUAAACUGUAUAUUUGUGUGUGCAAUGACA